rnacentral:rRNA from 1 species
ACUCAAAUGAAUUGACGGGGGCCCGCACAAGCGGUGGAGCAUGUGGUUUAAUUCGAUGCAACGCGAUGAACCUUACCUACUCUUGAAUCUUUGGAAUUUUGCAGAGAUGCGAAAGUGCCUUCGGGAACCAAAAGACAGGUGCUGCAUGGCUGUCGUCAGCUCGUGUCGUGAGAUGUUGGGUUAAGUCCCGUAACGAGCGCAACCCUUAUCCUUAGUUACCAGCGAGUAAAGUCGGGGACUCUAUGGAGACUGCCAGUGACAAACUGGAGGAAGGCGAGGACGACGUCAAGUCAUCAUGGCUUUUACGAGUAGGGCUACACACGUGCUACAAUGGUCGGUACAAAGGGCAGCGAAGUUGUGAAAUGGAGCGAAUCCUCUAAAGCCGAUCUCAGUCCGGAUUGGAGUCUGCAACUCGACUCCAUGAAGCUGGAAUCGCUAGUAAUCGUAGAUCAGAACGCUACGGUGAAUACGUUCCCGGGCCUUGCACACACCGCCCGU